rnacentral:rRNA from 1 species
CGAGCGAUGAGACUCCUACGGGAGCACAUCAGCGGCAGACGGGUGAGUAACACGUAGAUGACGUAUCCUCAAGACGGGGAUAACGGAUGGAAACAUGCGCUAAUACCGGAUGACCUUACGAUGUCAGAAUGGUAAGGAAAGCUACGGCGCUUGAGGAGCGGUCUGCGGCCCAUCAGCUAGUUGGUAGGGUAAAGGCCUAACAGGGCGAAAGACGGGUAAGGGGGUUGUGAAAAGCACGGCCCCCCACAAUGGGACUGAGACACGGCCCAUACUCCUACGGGAGGCAGCAGCAGGGAAUAUUGCACAAUGGACGGAAGUCUGAUGCAGCGACGCCGCGUGAGUGGAGAAGGCCUUCGGGUUGUAAAACUCUUUUGAGGGGGAAGAGCGAGGACGGUACCCCUGGAAUAAGCGUCGGCUAACUACGUGCCAGCAGCCGCGGUAAGACGUAGGACGCGAGCGUUAUCCGGAUUUACUGGGCGUAAAGCGUCUGUAGGCGGAUGUGUAAGUUGGGCGUGAAAGCUCCGGGCUUAACCCGGAGAGGCCGUUCAAUACUGCAUAACUUGAGGGUGUCAGAGGGGAGCGGAAUUCCCGGUGUAGCGGUAAAAUGCGCAGAGAUCGGGAGGAACACCAGUGGCGGAGGCGGUUCCCUGGGGCACACCUGACGCUGAGAGACGAAAGCUAGGGGAGCGAACAGGAUUAGAGACCCCCUGGUAGUCCUAGCCCUAAACGAUGAAUGCUAGGUGUGGGAUCGAAUGGUUCCGUGCCGGAGCGAACGCGAUAAGCAUUCCGCCUGGGGAGUACGGCCGCAAGGUUAAAACUCAAACGAAUUGACGGGGCCCCGCACAAGCAGCGGAGCGUGUGGUUUAAUUCGAUGCUACACGAAGAACCUUACCUGGGUUUGACAUGUAGGUGGUAGUGAAUCGAAAGGUGAACGACCCUUCGGGGAGCCUACACAGGUGCUGCAUGGCUGUCGUCAGCUCGUGCCGUGAGGUGUCGGGUUAAGUCCCGUAACGAGCGCAACCCUUGCUCCUAGUUACAAGUGUCUAGGGGGACUGCCGGCGGAAGCCGGAGGAAGGUGGGGAUGAUUCAAGUCAGCAUGGCCCUUAUAUCCAGGGCUACACACACGCUACAAUGGUCGGUACAAAGGGCAGCGAAACCGCGAGGCGGAGCGAAUCCGAGAAAGCCGAUCGUAGUUCGGAUAGCAGCUGCAACCCGCCUGCUUGAAGCUGGAGUUGCUAGUAACCGCGCGUCAGCCAUAGCGCGGUGAAUACGUUUUCCCGGGGCUUGUACAACACCGCCCGUCACGUCAUGGGAGUCGGUAACGCCUGAAGCCGGUAGUCUAACUGGAAACAGGAGACGCUGUCGAGGGCGGGACUGGCAACUGGGACGAAGU